rnacentral:rRNA from 1 species
AGCGAACGCUGGCGGCAGGCCUAACACAUGCAAGUCGAACGAAGCCUUCGGGCUUAGUGGCGGACGGGUGAGUAACACGUGGGAACGUACCUUUUGGUUCGGAACAACUCAGGGAAACUUGAGCUAAUACCGGAUGAGCCCUUAGGGGGAAAGAUUUAUCGCCGAAAGAGCGGCCCGCGUUAGAUUAGCUAGUUGGUGAGGUAAAGGCUCACCAAGGAUACGAUCUAUAGCUGGUCUGAGAGGAUGAUCAGCCACACUGGGACUGAGACACGGCCCAGACUCCUACGGGAGGAAGCAGUGGGGAGUCUUGCGCAAUGGGCGAAAGCCUGACGCAGCCAUGCCGCGUGAAUGAUGAAGGUCUUAGGAUUGUAAAAUUCUUUUACCAGGGACGAUAAUGACGGUACCUGAAGAAAAAGCCCCGGCUAACUUCGUGCCAGCAGCCGCGGUAAAAC